UGAGAUUUUUUUUAAACCUGAUGUCACAUCCAGGACAAACAAGAGAAGUCCUUUUAACCAAAUAGGACUCCUAUAUAACAAGAGUCUUUGAGAAGAGAGUCGUAUGACCUAAGAUGUCCCCUCCAACUACUUUGAUAUAAUGGCACAUGGAAGUGUGUCAUAAAGUGGGAGAAAAAGUGCAAGAAUUCCUCAAGACCCAUAUGUAAGGUUUUCUAUAAUUCACUUUGUAUGCUACAAUUGUUUGCCCUGCAUAGUGCCAGGAAGAUAUAAAAAUGUGAAAUGAACAAAUAUUGUUUAAGAGUUUAAAGAUACUUUGGAUGUCAUGACUCCAAUAAUAUUACCUUACAGAUCAACACCUGUGUUAGUCCAUUCUCAUGCUGCUAUGAAGAAAUACCUGAGACUGGGUCCAACACCAUAUGGAAGCUGCCAAGGCUUGAAGCAAUGGCCUAAGCUGGAUCUCGACCCCUUUUAGCCACAGCUGAAACUGGAAUGGCUGGGAUGCAGGACACCAAGUCCCAAGGCUGCACAGAGCAACAGGUCCCUGGGCCAGGCCCAGAUACCUGAAGUGGUUUUGAAGACUGGGCAGCUAAGACCUAAGUGAAGAAGAAUUCCUCCCCUGCAAGGAUGACCAAGAACCCAGCCGCUCUGUUUCCUUCCCGACUGGAGUCCUCUUCUCCACUGGGACCAGCUGUAUCCACCUGACCUCCAAGAGCACUCUCCAUGCCACGCACAGGGCACUGAGUGAACACCCACCUCAUUUCUCCCAGCAUGGAAAGUCAUUCCAGGAAUUCUGUGGGCAGUGGAGAGGCCCUUCCCCUUCCAGCAUGGGAAAGCCAGGCUGGUUGGGAAGCAGCUCAACUCAAGCUGCUGCUGAUACAGGUGCCCUCUCCUAGCCCCUCCCUUGUCCCCACCUGCAUUUCACCUCAAUUUCUAUCUGCAUAUGUGUCAAGUUCUCCCAAAUCCAGCAGCCACCAUGCCUGGCCUCACCAAGGGCUUGCCUCAUCUGAGCUAUUUCAGUAUAAAUAUUG
rnacentral:lncRNA from 1 species